AAUUAAACUCACGGGGGGAAUCACGUGACUUUGUAUAGUAAUACCCACGAGAAAAUGGCGACUGCUGAGCCCCGUAUCUGCAAUUUGGACCAAAAACGCAAAGGAGAAGACAUUCGCCAUUUCACAUUGAUAUUUAAUGCCAUCAUAGAACUGUAAAAUGAGGGCCAAGACACACCUGAAACUGCAGAGGUCAAAGAACUACUAUCGCCACAGAAAAAUAACACUGAGCCGUGUAAUAUCAAAUCCCAUCAAAGUUCAUUUGAUAUAUUAUAAUAG